rnacentral:rRNA from 1 species
UACGUAGGGACCAAGCGUUGUUCGGAAUUACUGGGCGUAAAGCGCACGUAGGCGGCUUUGUAAGUUAGAGGUGAAAGCCCGGGGCUCAACUCCGGAAUUGCCUUUAAGACUGCAUCGCUAGAAUUGUGGAGAGGUAAGUGGAAUUCCGAGUGUAGAGGUGAAAUUCGUAGAUAUUCGGAAGAACACCAGUGGCGAAGGCGACUUACUGGACACAUAUUGACGCUGAGGUGCGAAAGCGUGGGGAGCAAACAGG